rnacentral:lncRNA from 1 species
UCAAUCAAUAGAGGCUAGAUCGGACUAAUGAGAGAGACGGUUGAGUACGGAAGCUAAAGCGGAGAUAUAGGCUAGCUAAAUGCCAUGUGAUAAUAUUGACAUGAGUUAGGAUAAAUCCGAAUGACUAGUGGCCAUAACUGAUUAAGCAAUCUUAACCUUUUUCGAUUAGCCUUUCCUCUUUCUACCGUUAUGAGAUGCAGUAUCCUCUAACGUCUUUGCUUGGAAUUCCGGUGUUAAGCCCGCGGCUGAAGCAGAGAACCGCACAUCUUCCCUCGAGCAAGGAGAGGGUCUCGGAGCACAUAGAGGAGCAUUCCAUUUAUAAGGACUUUCUGAGGGAUCGCUUUCAGCUGGAUCGAGCUCUCAUGCUGAUCGGAGGAAUGCCAAUCUCUCUUUCUU